GUCAGGGUGGCCGAGUGGUCUAAGGCGGUAGACUUCUCGUCUGCUUCCCAGUAUGGGAUCGUGGGUUCGAAUCCCACCCCUGACA